rnacentral:rRNA from 1 species
GUACGGUCGCAAGGCUAAAACCCAAAGGAAUUGACGGGGGCCCGCACAAGCAGCGGAGCGUGUGGUUUAAUUCGAUGCAACGCGAAGAACCUUACCUGGGCUUGACAUGUACGUAGUAGUGAAGGGAAACCGGAACGAGCCUUCGGGCAGCGUAGACAGGUGCUGCAUGGCUGUCGUCAGCUCGUGUCGUGAGAUGUUGGGUUAAGUCCCGCAACGAGCGCAACCCGUGUUGCUAGUUACAAGUGUCUAGCGAGACUGCCGGUAACAAGCCGGAGGAAGGUGCGGAUGAUGUCAAGUCAGCAUGGCCUAUAUGUCCAGGGCUACACACACGCUACAAUGGCUGGUACAAAGAGAAGCGAAAGGGAGACCUGAAGCGAAUCUCAUCAAAGCCAGUCAUAGUUCGGAUUGCAGGCUGCAACUCGCCUGCAUGAAGUCGGAGUUGCUAGUAACCGCAGGUCAGCAAUACUGCGGUGAAUACGUUCCCGGGCCUUGUACACAC